rnacentral:miRNA from 1 species
AGGCCUCUCAGGGUUUCUGGA